rnacentral:rRNA from 1 species
CAGUCGCCGCGGUAACACGUAGGGUGCAAGCGUUAAUCGGAAUUACUGGGCGUAAAGCGUGCGCAGGCGGUUAUAUAAGACAGAUGUGAAAUCCCCGGGCUCAACCUGGGAACUGCAUUUGUGACUGUAUAGCUAGAGUACGGCAGAGGGGGAUGGAAUUCCGCGUGUAGCAGUGAAAUGCGUAGAUAUGCGGAGGAACACCGAUGGCGAAGGCAAUCCCCUGGGCCUGUACUGACGCUAAUGCACGAAAGCGUGGGGAGCAAACAGGAUUAGAUACCCCGGUAGUCCCUGUCUCUUAUAC